UUAUUUAGAAGCAAGAGAAAAUGACAAAACAGGAAUGUGUUUCAUGUUUGCAAAAGGAAUAUGAGCCAGUCUUAAAUGCCAAAUGUAAUUCAUGUUUUUUGCAUCAGCAUUAUUACAAAUGGAACUAUUUACAUUUGAAGACAAAGCAACAGUCUUAUGGCUAGAAUAACAGACAUGAUUACAAGAAUCAGAAAGUGAACAUACAGAAGCAGAUGAGCAACAAUUAAAAGAAGAAUGUGAAGGUGGCACCCAAGCAAACUUGUACAGACCCAUACAGAAGCAGAUGAGCAACAAUUAAAAGAAGAAUGUGAAGGUGGAACCUAAGCAAACUUGUACAGACCAGCCUCCUCGUUACCAAGAUCCAGUGGAAUCUUCAGAGAAGAGGCCUGUAACAUGUGAAAAAAACAAAAAUACAAUGCAACUGUUUUACUAGUUUGUGGACAGAAAUUAAG
rnacentral:lncRNA from 1 species